UGAUGCACCGAGUCUGUACGUAUGCAGUCUGGAUGUACUGCACAUACUGACAUGAACGCGGGUGUUAUCUGUCCUCGUCGAGUCACAGCCCUCUCCGGCAGAGAACCUGGCAAUGGGUGAUACAGGCCAUAACCUGGAAGUAUAUAUACUUAUAUGUGUGUGUGUCAUGAUCGUCCUUGAGUCCCCGCCACCGUGCCUGGAUGGCUGGAUGGCUGGCAUUGGCGCUGCUUAGCGGGCGAUCAUCGGGCUGCAGUAGCCGCAUACAGGGAACGACGGGUCCUGCGUGGAGUGUUGUGGAGCUCUGUGGAGCGGAAACCUCGUUUCAGAUUGAAUCUGAUCCGCCCGUCGAUGCCAGGGGGGUGUGUGGAGGGGGAUGGAUUCUGUGUGAACUGAGCA
rnacentral:sRNA from 2 species